rnacentral:rRNA from 1 species
AAUAGAUACCCCGGUAGUCCACGCCGUAAACGUUGGAUACUAGGUGUGGCGUCCCGAUCAACGGAUGCCGUGCCGAAGCUAACGCAUUAAGUAUCCCGCCUGGGGAGUACGGCCGCAAGGCUAAAACUCAAAGGAAUUGACGGGUCCCCGCACAAGCGGCGGAGCAUGCGGCUUAAUUCGAUGCAACCCGAAGAACCUUACCUGGGUUUGAAAUCAUGGGAAAAGCUGUAGAAAUACAGUGUCCGUAAGGGCCCAUGACAGGUGGUGCAUGGCUGUCGUCAGCUCGUGUCGUGAGAUGUUGGGUUAAGUCCCGCAACGAGCGCAACCCUUGUCCUAUGUUGCCAGCGGUUCGGCCGGGGACUCAUAGGAGACUGCCGGGGAUAACUCGGAGGAAGGUGAGGACGACGUCAAGUCAUCAUGCCCCUUAUAUCCAGGGCUGCACGCAUGCUACAAUGGUCGGUACAACGGGCAGCGACCCCGCGAGGGUGAGCGAAUCCCACAAAGCCGGCCUCAGUUCGGAUUGGAGU